GAUUAACGCUGGCGGCGUGCAUAACACAUGCAAGUCGAACGAUGAAACUUAACUGAUUUCUUCGGAAUGAUUUUAAGUGGAUUAGUGGCGGACGGGUGAGUAACGCGUGAGUAACCUGCCUUGGAGAAGGGGAUAGCCUUUGGAAACGAAGAAUAAUACCCUAUGAUAUGAUAAUAUCUCAUGAUAUUAUCAUCAAAGAUUUAUCGCUCUAAGAUGGACUUGCGUCUGAUUAGUUAGUUGGUGAGGUAACAGCUCACCAAGGCAGCGAUCAGUAGCCGGUUUGAGAGGGUGGACGGCCACUUGGGGACGGAGAAACGGCCCAAACCCCUAGGGGGGGGAGGAGGGGGAAAUUUUGCAAAAGGGGGGAACCCCGGAGGCAGCGACGCCGGGGAUUUAAGAAGGCCUUGGGGUUGAAAAAAUUUUUUUUAUGGAAAAAAAAUGAAAGCCCCAAACAAAAAAGGACCGGCUAAUUACGU
rnacentral:rRNA from 1 species